GUCCAUCCCUCCCUCGUUUUUUCCGUUGUAUGUGUGUGUGUGUGUGUGUGUGCAUGCGUGUAUUGGAUAUGGAAUGUGUGGUGGGAUAUGAGCAACUUCCUGUUUUUAGUUGUUAAGUACAUCCCAGUGGGGUUUUACAUUGUGUGUGUGUGUGUGUGUGUGUGUGUGUGUGUGUGUGUGUGUGACAGAGAGAGAGAGACAAAGACAGAGUAGAAAUGAGAAUGACAGAGGGGAACGGGAUGCACCAUAUGGUCAAAAAUAAUAGAUCUGGGUAGAUAACGAUCAUAAAAAAGCUUUCCGCCAGAUUUUGGAACCUGACUGCUUGGAUUUGGUUUCCCGUUCAGCCACAGGAGCAUUAAAGAGGUCCAACACUGACGUAGGCUGAUAAGGUCUGGCUCACAGUCGGCGUUCCAGUUCAGCCCAUGAGGUUGGCGUCAGACAAAGAGAGGAGGACUGAACGGU